CUAAAUACUACCCAGUGACCGAUAGCGUAUAGUACUGUGAAGGAAAGGUGAAAAGCACCCCGGGAGGGGAGUGAAAAAGAACCUGAAACCCUGUGCCUACAAGCACCUAGAGCGCGUCAAAGCGUGAUAGGGUACUUUUUGUAGAACGGUCCGGCGAGCGAUUGUAUGCAGCAAGGUUAAGGACUUAAGGUCUGGAGCCGAAGCGAAAGCGAGUUUGAAAAGGGCGUUAAGUUGCAUAUAAUGGGCCCGAAACCGGGUGACCUACCCAUGGUCAGGUUGAAGUGGAAGUAAAAUUCCAUGGAGGACCGAACCGACCUCCGUUGAAAAGGCGGCGGAUGAACUGUGGGUAGCGGAGAAAUUCCAAUCGAACCCGGAGAUAGCUGGUUCUCCCCGAAAUAGUUUUAGGACUAGCCUCAAGUUAGAUACCUGGAGGUAAAGCACUGAAUAGCCUAGCGGCCGAGAGGUUAGCGAAGCUUAUCAAACUCAGAAUGCCAGAGUAUUGAUGCUUGGGAGUCAGACAGUGUCAGAUAAAUGUCAUUGUCAAAAGGGAAACAGCCCAGAUCUACAGCUAAGGUCCCAAAGUCAGGUUAAGUGGAAAACGAUGUGAAGAUACGCAGACAACCAGGAUGUUGGCUCAGAAGCAGCCACUCAUUCAAAGAGUGCGUAAUAGCUCACUGGUCGAGCGUCUUUGCGCGGAGAAUUUAACGGGGCUAAACCUGACACCGAAGCUUAGGCAAUACAGUAAUGUAUUGGGUAGGGGAGCGUUGUAUACGCGGUGAAACAGUAGCGCAAGCGGCUGUGGAGUGUAUAGAAGUGAGAAUGCCGGAAUGAGUAGCGCGAAUGCAGUGAGAAUCUGCAUGGCCGAAAGCCUCAGGUUUCUGGAGGAAGGUUCGUCCGCUCCAGGUUAGUCGGGAGCUAAGGUGAGGCCUAACGGCGUAGCCGAUGCACAGACGGUAGAGAUUCCGUCACCACCAAAAGAGUUAAACACAGGGACACAUAUGAAGUCUCGGAGCCGGGUGUUGGUUCCGGUAGCGAUCGAGGGAAGUUAGUACCGAAGUCCGAGAUGGAAGAUGGCGAGAAAAGCUGUGUGUAUUUCUGCGGUGCCCGUACCGCAAACCGACACAGGUAGGUAGGAAGAAGAUUCUAAGGCCAACGGGAGAAGGGUUGUUAAGGAACUCGGCAAAUUGACCCCGUAACUUCGGGAGAAGGGGUGCUCCAGAGAUGGAGCCGCAGAGAAUCGGCCCAAGCAACUGUUUACCAAAAACACAGGUUUGUGCUAAAUCGAAAGAUGACGUAUACGAGCUGACGCCUGCCCGGUGCUGGAAGGUUAAGAGGAGAUGUGCAAGCAUUGAAUCGAAGCCCCAGUGAACGGCGGCCGUAACUAUAACGGUCCUAAGGUAGCGAAAUUCCUUGUCAGGUAAG
rnacentral:rRNA from 1 species